rnacentral:rRNA from 1 species
AUUGAACGCUGGCGGCAGGCCUAACACAUGCAAGUCGAGCGGAUGAAGGGAGCUUGCUCCUGGAUUCAGCGGCGGACGGGUGAGUAAUGCCUAGGAAUCUGCCUGGUAGUGGGGGAUAACGUCCGGAAACGGGCGCUAAUACCGCAUACGUCCUGAGGGAGAAAGUGGGGGAUCUUUGGACCUCACGCUAUCAGAUGAGCCUAGGUCGGAUUAGCUAGUUGGUGGGGUAAAGGCCUACCAAGGCGACGAUCCGUAACUGGUCUGAGAGGAUGAUCAGUCACACUGGAACUGGAACACGGUCAAGACUCCUGCGGGAGGCAGCAGUGGGGAAUAUUGGACAAUGGGCGAAAGCCUGAUCCAGCCAUGCCGCGUGUGUGAAGAAGGUCUUCGGAUUGUAAAGCACUUUAAGUUGGGAGGAAGGGCAGUAAGUUAAUACCUUGCUGUUUUGACGUUACCAACAGAAUAAGCACCGGCUAACUUCGUG